rnacentral:rRNA from 1 species
UGGGGAAUAUUGCACAAUGGGCGCAAGCCUGAUGCAGCCAUGCCGCGUGUAUGAAGAAGGCCUUCGGGUUGUAAAGUACUUUCAGUCGGGAGGAAGGUGGUAAGGUUAAUAACCUUAUCAAUUGACGUUACCGACAGAAGAAGCACCGGCUAACACCGUGCCAGCAGCCGCGGUAAUACGGAGGUUGCAAGCGUUAAUCGGAAUUACUGGGCGUAAAGCGCACGCAGGCGGUUGAUUGAGUCAGAUGUGAAAUCCCCGGGCUUAACCCGGGAAUUGCAUCUGAUACUGGUCAGCUAGAGUCUUGUAGAGGGGGGUAGAAUUCCAUGUGUAGCGGUGAAAUGCGUAGAGAUGUGGAGGAAUACCGGUGGCGAAGGCGGCCCCCUGGACAAAGACUGACGCUCAGGUGCGAAAGCGUGGGGAGCAAACAGG